rnacentral:tRNA from 1 species
GCGGGUGUAGCUUAAUGGUAAAGUUCGAGCCUUCCAAGCUCGCCAUGAGGGUUCGAUUCCCUCCACCCGCU